CCCAUCUGUACAUACCUUGGUAGGUCUCACAGUUACCUGGCCAGGAGAUGAUUCCCCCAUCUGUACAUACCUUGGCAGGUCUCACAGUUACCUGGCCAGGAGAUGAUUCCCCCAUCUGUACAUACCUUGGUAGGUUUCACAGUUACCUGGCCAGGAGAUGAUUCCCC